UACGGAGGGGGCUAGCGUUGUUCGGAAUCACUGGGCGUAAAGGGCGCGUAGGCGGCCCUCUUAGUCGCGUGUGAAAUCCCUCGGCUCAACUGAGGAACUGCCCAGGAAACUGCUUGGCUUGAGGUCGGGAGAGGGAAGCGGAAUUCCGGGUGUAGCGGUGAAAUGCGUAGAUAUCCGGAGGAACACCGGUGGCGAAGGCGGCUUCCUGGACCGACACUGACGCUGAGGCGCGAAAGCUAGGGGAGCAAACGGG
rnacentral:rRNA from 1 species